rnacentral:rRNA from 1 species
GGCUCAGAUUGAACGCUGGCGGCAGCCCUAACACAUGCAAGUCGAGCGGCAGCACGGGUACUUGUACCUGGUGGCGAGCGGCGGACGGGUGAGUAAUGCCUAGGAAUCUGCCUGGUAGUGGGGGAUAACGCUCGGAAACGGACGCUAAUACCGCAUACGUCCUACGGGAGAAAGCAGGGGACCUUCGGGCCUUGCGCUAUCAGAUGAGCCUAGGUCGGAUUAGCUAGUUGGUGAGGUAAUGGCUCACCAAGGCGACGAUCCGUAACUGGUCUGAGAGGAUGAUCAGUCACACUGGAACUGAGACACGGUCCAGACUCCUACGGGAGGCAGCAGUGGGGAAUAUUGGACAAUGGGCGAAAGCCUGAUCCAGCCAUGCCGCGUGUGUGAAGAAGGUCUUCGGAUUGUAAAGCACUUUAAGUUGGGAGGAAGGGCAUUUACCUAAUACGUAAGUGUUUUGACGUUACCGACAGAAUAAGCACCGGCUA